AGCAGCGCCGAGUUGAGGCGCGUCUCGAGCUCGCCGUCAGCCGCCGCCUCCAUGUGCGAGCAGAGGAUGUGCUGCAGCUGCGUGUACUCCACCUCCGUCAUCUCCACCAGGCUCAGGUAGCUGACCCUAAAUUCAGUGAAAUCCAGAACUUUCCUGGCACACUGGAGAGGACGGCAGAACGCUGGGAUGGAUUUAUCGUGCAAGACCAGCUUGAUGUCCUUAGGGCUUGGAGGUCACCCCUUCACGAGGAUUCUGCCUCGGCCUCUGUGCUAGAACAGGGAGCUACAGCUCAGUGACCCUGUGGUGCCUUGUGGGCCUGUGGGUGCCAGGGCUCCGGGGCCUGGGCCUUUUCCUGCUUGGUGUGGCUGACCGGGACGCGGCCGACCCCAGGGGCAUACUGGAGCUAGGUCUUCCUCGCCAUGUUUCCACAGUGAGCCCUUUGGCUGCACAGGUCACGGUCUGGAGCUGUUGGAGGAGGCUGCUCAGAGCUGUUGCUGCCCCACCAGACACUUGGCCAAGGGGCCUGCACCGGUCUGCGCGGGAACGUCCCACCGGCGUCUGCUCAUGGCUGGGCUGUGGACCCAUACGCUUGUUCGGAAGCCAAGCUCUGGCCCACAGGCGACCAGAGGAAGCUCGCAGGCCAGGCGCCAGCUCCCCGAGCCUGUCCCUGCAGCCGCGCUGUGUGCAGGCACGUGGGCCACCGCGUCUCCUCCACUGGCACUGCUGGGUCUGGGCCGCCAAGCCCACCUGCCCACCUGCAUCCUCAGCAGCAGCACGCCCCGCAGUCGGCGGGUGCACACUCUGCUGCAGCCUGGAUGGGCUGGGGCCUCGGGGCUCACUCCCCAACCAUGAGACUCCUUCACCGCAGUUGAGGCUGUUGCAGUGGUCUCGGGCUCCCACUCAGCCCCAGGAGAGGGUCUGAAGGGGGUGAGUCCCUCCUCCCGACCUUCCUGCCCAUCGUCUCCAGAGCUGGAUGGUGCUGGGUCCCCACAGGGAGCGAGACAGCUGCCCCGUGACGGAAGGAUGUGGGGACCCGCACCCGGCCGGUCUCACCCUGGGCUCAGCAUGAGUUCAGGGAGGGGUCCAAAGGGCACUCCUGCCCACGCCCAGGCAAACCAGCAACAAGAAACUGGGUGGCCAGGGCGUCCGUGCACGACCCCAAACUUCUCCGCGUUAGAAAAAGGCUGAUGAAGACCCGAGACAGAAACUUCCUGUAGCUGUUUAUUCUACUGCGAGUAACAAAACCUAGGUCGUUCCAUGUUCUCAUGUACAGUGAUAUAAGCCUCCGCAAUAUAAAAUACAAUGUACAGGAAUCUCUAUCAAGUAAACUAAAGAAACACA
rnacentral:lncRNA from 1 species